UUGUUAUUUCUUAAUUAUUUGCUUGCUGUGCUGAUGAGCUGCGUCAAGCAAUGUUAACCAUUGAUCCACCGAUGACGGAGGAGGAUAUCGAUGCAAUGAUCAAGAAAGCCGACUUUAAUAAUGACGGUAAAGUCGACUUUGACGAAUUCCUUCAGAUGAUGUGGAAGAAUUUUCGUUAGAAUGAUGAUAGAUUGCACUCGGUGAAGAUGAUGCACGCUAUCCUCUACUCAAACAGCGACAACUUGUCCUUUUUAUUCUUUUUGAGGACUCCUCGGGAGAGGGUUAUAUAAUCGUCUCGUAUCAGAUUCCUUUAUGUUCCGGUAAUUUUGUUAGAGCUGUCACUUUUUGGUUUGUAUUGUUUUUUCUUUUUUUCAAAGAGUGGUUCGAAUUUCCGUUCACUUUAUUAAUUUUCAUUUUUGUCAUUAUACCCAGGGUGCCUUUCAAAUGUCGGUGUACUCCUUCCAAGAAUAGAUAUUGCAUUUUUUCUCCUUCUGAAAGCCAACUAUUAGUAUUAUUAUGAUACAUUUGACAUCAUGAUUUUGUUUAUUGUUUUUUAAUUGUAUCAUAGUCAUCGUGAUUGUGGUUAGGAUGGAGGUCUAACACCAAAGAAUAUCAAAGUCCGAAAAGGGACAUGGUACACAAGGGGGAAGAUGAAUUUUAACUUUCUUAGUUCUUGAUAGGCGGUAAAAGCACUUAUCUUAAAUAAAUUACAUUAAUAGUAUUUUAUGUGGAGGUGCCGUAGGUCACUCAUUGAAUGCUCCCCAGGGAGUGGAGAUUGCGUACACAGUGUGUGCGGGCAAGUAUUAAAUCCAAUGACCGGUGUAAUAGUAUACCUUUAAAGCGCUUAGAGACAUUUGUAUUAAGCGCUAUAUAAAGGCGGAUUAUUAUUAUUAUUAUUAUUAUUGAAGUGAGCUGAAUGGUUUAUUGAGCAUACUGGAAACGGCAGCACGAGGGCUGAAUUACAUUCAUUUUACAAUAAAAGCACAUGAAAUGAAACACAUAGCAAUGUUUCAACAAAAAUUACAUAACGCUUGCGAGAAUACAUUCAAAGAUAAAAUUAAUAGGAUACAAUAUCAUGACCCAAAAAACCCUCUCAAUCUGGACAUCUAGGAAUAGAGCGAUUCAUCCGUAUUAUUUUCAAGUAAUUAUAAUGUAUUGUUUAUGUUCAUGUGUAUGUAUUAUGUUUGUUUAUACGAUGAUGAAACCAAACCAAACCAAUCCAAGGCUUGAGAGUCCGGCACCAACGUCCUUUGAAAAGGCAUUAAUUCAACAUUUGCCACUCUCUACCCAGGUGUAAAUGAGUACCUGGCAAAUAAUAUUGAUGGGGUGAUGAUAAUUGCAGGGCCCGCGGGAACAGCAGUAUUGAUACUGAUGUUGCUACCCUAAGUUAACAAAAUUAUUAUUAUUAUUAUUAUAUGGCGAUAUCAUUUACAGUAAAGUGGAGAAAAUGAGUAUAUGUAAACAUUGUAUAUUUAGUUUGGUGCAAUUUAUAAACAUGCAAUGUUCACUAAAUAAAACUCUGCUAAAUAAUAA